rnacentral:rRNA from 1 species
CAGUCGCCACGGGAAUACGGAGGGGGCUAGCGUUGCUCGGAAUUACUGGGCGUAAAGCGCACGUAGGCGGCUUUGUAAGUUAGAGGUGAAAGCCUGGGGCUCAACUCCAGAAUUGCCUUUAAGACUGCAUCGCUUGAACGUCGGAGAGGUGAGUGGAAUUCCGAGUGUAGAGGUGAAAUUCGUAGAUAUUCGGAAGAACACCAGUGGCGAAGGCGGCUCACUGGACGACUGUUGACGCUGAGGUGCGAAAGCGUGGGGAGCAAACAGGAUUAGAUACCCCUGUAGUCCCUGUCUCUUAUAC